rnacentral:rRNA from 1 species
GUUGAACGCUGGCGGCAGGCCUAACACAUGCAAGUCGAGCGGAGCUGCGGACGGGUGAGUAAUGCCUAGGAAUCUGCCUGGUAGUGGGGGAUACCGUCCGGAAACGGGCGCUAAUGCCGCAUACUAGCAGAUGAGCCUAGGGGGGAUUAGCUAGGUGGUGGGGGAAAGGCCUAACAAGGAGGCGAUCCGUAACUGGUCUGAGAGGAUGAUCAGGCAAACUGGAACUGAGAAACGGUCCAGACUCCUACGGGAGGCAGCAGUGGGGAAUAUUGGAGAAUGGGAGAAAGCCUGAUCCAGCCAAGCCGCGUGUGUGAAGAAGGUCUUCGGAUUGUAAAGCACUUUAAGUUGGGAGGCGGUACCAACAGAAUAAGUACCGGCUAACUUCGUGCCAGCAGCCGCGGUAAUAC